UUAGAGGUCGCCGAUUCGAGUGAC
rnacentral:siRNA from 1 species